GACCUGCUGGUGAAUGGUUCACACCCAUCCUUCUUGAGUACUCUGCGGUAAAUGUGAGGUGGGAGCUCCCGGUUCGAUUCCGGGUCAGGUCA